UACGUAGGAGGCAAGCGUUGUCCGGAAUCACUGGGCGUAAAGCGCGUGUAGGUGGAAGAGGAAGUCUGCUGUGAAAGCGCCUGGCUUAACCGGGCGAGGUCGGUGGAAACUCCUCAUCUCGAGGGCGGUAGAGGGGGGUGGAAUUCCGGGUGUAGUGGUGAAAUGCGUAGAUAUGCGGAGGAACACCGAUGGCGAAGGCAAUCCCCUGGGCCUGCACUGACGCUCAUGCACGAAAGCGUGGGGAGCAAACAGG
rnacentral:rRNA from 1 species